rnacentral:lncRNA from 1 species
UCCAAACUCUGAGAGCUUCUGGAUCUCCUCGCUCCCAUGCCCUGGGGCAAUCGCCUGCUGAUCAUGGAUGGGCAAACAUGGGAGUCGAGCCAGGCUGCUCGAUCCCAUCUCCGUCGUAUGCUGUGCUCCUCCUGACCUGAGACCUGCUUGGGACAUCAUCCUGUGGCAACAGGAAUCUUACCUUACGAUGUCGCCUCUCAUCCUCCCGAGUCUCCUGUCUCGUGCCCGAUCCGUCUCCUAGAGCUCCACCUCACUUUGGGCUCCACCUGGCUCCUGAAGCUCCACCUCGCACUAGGCUCCCUACCAGAGAAUAA